rnacentral:rRNA from 1 species
UACGUAGGCAGCGAGCGUUGUUCGGAAUUACUGGGCGUAAAGAGUGUGUAGGCGGUGCUCUAAGUUCGGUGUGAAAUCUCCUGGCUCAACUGGGGAGGUGCGCCGGAAACUGGAGUGCUUGAGCGUGGGAGAGGAAAGCGGAAUUCCUGGUGUAGCGGUGAAAUGCGCAGAUAUCGGGAGGAACACCAAUUGCGAAGGCAGCUCGCUGGAACGUAACUGACGCUGAGACGGCGAAAAGC